rnacentral:rRNA from 1 species
GGAGCGAAAGCGUGGGGAGCGAACAGGAUUAGAUACCCUGGUAGUCCACGCCGUAAACGGUGGGCGCUAGUUGUGCGAACCUUCCACGGUUUGUGCGACGCAGCUAACGCAUUAAGCGCCCCGCCUGGGGAGUACGAUCGCAAGAUUAAAACUCAAAGGAAUUGACGGGGCCCCGCACAAGCAGCGGAGCAUGCGGCUUAAUUCGACGCAACGCGAAGAACCUUACCAAGGCUUGACAUAUACAGGAAUACGGCAGAGAUGUCGUAGCCGCAAGGUCUGUAUACAGGUGGUGCAUGGUCGUCGUCAGCUCGUGUCGUGAGAUGUUGGGUUAAGUCCCGCAACGAGCGCAACCCUCGUUCUGUGUUGCCAGCAUUUAGUUGGGGACUCACAGGAGACUGCCGGGGUUAACUCGGAGGAAGGUGGGGAUGACGUCAAAUCAUCAUGCCCCUUAUGUCUUGGGCCGCACGCAUGCUACAAUGGCUGGUACAAACGGCUGCAAUACCGCAAGGUGGAGCGAAUCCGAGAAAGCCAGUCUCAGUUCGGAUUGGGGUCUGCAACUCGACCCCAUGAAGUCGGAGUUGCUAGUAAUCGUAGAUCAGCAACGCUACGGUGAAUACGUUCCCGGGGCUUGUACACACCGCCCGUCACAUCACGAAAGUCGGUAACACCCAAAGUCAGUGGCCCAACCGCAAGGAGGGAGCUGCCAAA